CUGGUUUCUUUCAGUUCUUGUUGGUUCAUUGUCAGGUGUCAUAUGUCAAAGUUGGGUCCUCCACUUCCUUGCCUCCAGUGCCUUCAAAAACCCUAAUCAUGACAGAAUGAAGCGACCAGAAAAGGACCCAGAGGGAAGAAUACGGCGUCACCCUGCACGCCACCAGUCUGCCUCCCAGCGCCCUCAGCCUGCCCACCAUACCUACCCUCCUCCACGGCUGCCACCCGACCUUGCUCUGGCGGCGCUCGUACAGCGGUUGCCACCCGUCCUCGCUCCGGGGGCGGUCGUCCACCGGCCGCCACUCAACCCUAUUGCCUAGCCCCUGCAUUGCCAUUGGGUUCGGCAUCAUGGCCGUCCGCCUGAAUGGCCCUGUGAAAACCCUGGUGCAUGGCGUCCUGGCCGACCUCCUGGACUGCCCACCCAAGCACCUCACCUCGUGUGGGCUGCAUGGCCACCAGACUGACCCUGAGAGGAGGAAUUAUUAUUUAUAGUUUUCCUUGUACCUUGUUUUCCAUCUUUGUUUUUGGAAUUAAAUAUCAUUUGUAAGACUCCUGCACUCCUGGCUUGCCUCCCUGCUUCCCUGCACUUGGGUCCUCCACUUCCUUGCCUCCAGUGCCUUCAAAAACCCUAAUCAUGACAAA